UCAAGCGAUGCUUCAGCCUCGGAUUCCGAUAAAUCCACCCGAUUAAUCAGCGACUCGAUCAGCUCAUUAAAUGCAGUUACGGGUGGAGACGAGGUUUCACAAAAACUAGAAAUAGCAGUAACCAGAGUGGUACUUUUACUGCUGCUGCUUCCAUUUUCGUAUCUGAUAGCGCCUAUCUGCUUGGCACAAUAAAUUCCUGUUACCAUAACAGAGCAGCUGCCAUCUCGAAGAUGGUAAAUUGGCGAUAGCGGCGACCGAGUCAAUGAAGAAGCAGGAAUUACAAGCUGACGAGAAGAGAGAAAAAGCGGCAGCCGCCAUUUGGUGCCUUUACGAUCCCCAAAAACUAUAAUAAUAAACUCUGUAGUGGGGAGGUGAAAAUCGAAUGGGAGUAUAAAGAGAUUGAGAGAAAAAAAAAAAAAAAAAAAAAAAAAAAGAAAAAAAAAUGGAAGGGGUUGGAAGGUGUUUCAAGGAAGGAGUUGGAAAGGUAAUCGCCCAAUUAAUUGGUUUCUUAAAAUGGAAAUGGAGAUUAUACGUAUGAGAUUGGUGGGGUGGUGGGUUGGUUUUGAGCUGUG
rnacentral:misc_RNA from 1 species